GACGAACGCUGGCGGCGUGCCUAAUACAUGCAAGUCGAGCGAAGUUUUUCUGGUGCUUGCACUAGAAAAACUUAGCGGCGAACGGGUGAGUAACACGUAAAGAACCUGCCUCAUAGACUGGGACAACUAUUGGAAACGAUAGCUAAUACCGGAUAACAGUAUUUCUCGCAUGAGAGAUAUUUAAAAGUUGGUUAUGCUAACACUAUGAGAUGGCUUUGCGGUGCAUUAGCUAGUUGGUGGGGUAAAGGCCCACCAAGGCGACGAUGCACAGCCGACCUGAGAGGGUGAUAGGCCACACUGGGACUGAGACACGGCCCAGACUCCUACGGGAGGCAGCAGUAGGGAAUCGUCCGCAAUGGGCGAAAGCCUGACGGAGCAACGCCGCGUGAGUGAAGAAGGAUUUCGGUUCGUAAAGCUCUGUUGUUAGGGAAGAAUGGAUAUGUAGUAACUAUACAUGUAAGAGACGGUACCUAACCAGAAAGCCACGGCUAACUACGUG
rnacentral:rRNA from 1 species